ACGUCUUGUGCCCUUGACUAUCCGCAGAUGCGCGAUAGAUUCUAUGUAUCAGCUAUACUGCGUUCUGUGCAAUCUGCUAUCAUACACCAGUAGAAAGUACCUACCAUGACUGGUGACAAUUGUGGAUGUACAUCUUCGCAAAAGAUGUUCCACCAGAGCUGAAGAAGGGACUGGAGAUGUUGAGAAUCCGAAGAAGGGUGGACUAGUGAUGUUUGAGUGUCAAAAUAUUGCAACCACGGUUUGGUGCUACCGAUGAAAUGAAUUAUUCUUAUUUCUGAUCCAAAUCUGCAGGGAAAAAGUAAUAAAUAGUCAUAUUUUAAUUUUUA